UGGCUCUAGCAUUGAUGAAGAACGCAGCAAAAUGCGAUAAGUAAUGUGAAUUGCAGAAUUUAGUGAAUCAUCAAAUCUUUGAACGCACAUUGCGCCCUAUGGUAUUCCAAAGGGCAUGCCUGUAUGAGCGUCAUUAAAAAUCUUCAGAUUACUGAUUUAAGUGUUCUGGUGUUGGUGUAUAAAUCAUUGUUAUAGCUAUUUUUAUAGCCUGUAAAAACGCAGUUUUAUCACUCAAAUAAUUUGCCAAAGAUAGCUAAUUUUUUGUAUGGCGUUUUCAAGUUAAAUAUUAUAUUUACCUGUCUGCAAAUAGAAUAGCAAGUUUUUGAAGCUACUCAGAUGUAUACAAUAUACAAUAUUUUGACCUCAUAUCAGGUAGAGAUACCCGCUGA
rnacentral:misc_RNA from 1 species